rnacentral:rRNA from 1 species
CAGUAAACUGUCUCUAAUGACGAAUUAAUUAGGCUUCAUAGAAAGGUCUCGUGAUUUGCAGUCCAUCCGUGUAAUUUGUUUUAUAAUUAGAUCAUGUUUAGUCCUCCUAAAUAGCAUCCGAAAAGUGAUACAGUGAACUUUGCAAACAAAGUUUGCAAUCUAAACACAGCCUCAAUGACACGUGCAUGAUUGAUUUGCUGCGUACUAUAUAUGCGUUUAAAUAAAAAAAGGAUAUGAUGUGUAGGUGUAGCUGCUCAGAACCGAUAAUUUUAUGG